rnacentral:rRNA from 1 species
AUUGAACGCUGGCGGCAGGCCUAACACAUGCAAGUCGAGCGGAGCGGCGGACGGGUGAGUAAUGCCUAGGAAUCUGCCUGGUAGUGGGGGAAAACGUCCGGAAACGGGCGCUAAUACCGCAUACUAUCAGAUGAGCCUAGGUCGGAUGAGCGAGUUGGUGGGGGAAAGGCAUAGCAAGGCGACGAUCAGUCAAUGGUCUGGGAGGAGGAUCAGUCACACUGUAACUGACACACGGUCCAGACUCCUACGGUAGGCAGCAGUGGGGAAUAUUGGACAAUGGGCGAAAGCCUGAUCCAGCCAUGCCGCGUGUGUGAAGAAGGUCUUCGGAUUGUAAAGCACUUUAAGUUGGGAGGCGUUACCAACAGAAUAAGCACCGGCUAACUUCGUGCCAGCAGCCGCGGUAAUUC